rnacentral:rRNA from 1 species
UACAGAGGGUGCAAGCGUUAAUCGGAAUUACUGGGCGUAAAGCGCGCGUAGGUGGUUUGUUAAGUUGGAUGUGAAAUCCCCGGGCUCAACCAUGGAAGUGCACCCGAAACUGCGUUGCUAAAGUCUCGGAGAGGAAGAUGGAAUGCUUGGUGUAGAGGUGAAAUUCGUAGAUAUCAAACGGAACACCGAUGGCGAAAACGACCUUCUAGACGAGUACUGACGCUGAGACGCGAAAGCGUGGGUAGCAAACAGG